UACGUAGGGUGCGAGCGUUUGUCCGGAAUUAUUGGGCGUAAAGAGCUCGUAGGCGGUGUGUCACGUCGGCCGUGAAAACCUGCAGCUUAACUGUGGGCGUGCGGUCGAUACGGGCAUCACUGGAGUUCGGCAGGGGAGACUGGAAUUCCUGGUGUAGCGGUGAAAUGCGCAGAUAUCAGGAGGAACACCGGUGGCGAAGGCGGGUCUCUGGGCCGAUACUGACGUGAGGAGCGAAAGCGUGGGGAGCAAACAGG
rnacentral:rRNA from 1 species